rnacentral:lncRNA from 1 species
GUGAGUUUGUAGGUGUAGCAGUGAUAAGCAUCCCUGCUGCCCUGAGGUUCCUGGUCACAGGUAUUGAUUGCUAGUUCAAGACACAUAUUGGGGCCAGCGCCAUGGCUCACUUGGUUAAUCCUCCGCCUGCGGUGCCAGCAUCCCAUAUGGGCACCGGGUUCUAGCCCUGGUUGCUCCUCUUCCAGUCCAGCUCUCUACUGUGGCCCAGGAGGGCAGUGGAGGAUGGCCCAAGUGCUUGGGCCCCUGCACCCACAUGGGAGACCAGGAGGAAACACCUGGCUCCUGGCUUUGGAUCGGCACAGUGCCGGCCGUUGCAGCCAUUUGGGGAGGGAACCAAAGGAAGGAAGACCUUUCUCUCUGUCUCUCUCGCUCACUGUCUAUAACUCUACCUGUCAAAUAAAUUAAAAAAAACACAUAUUGUACCCUUGUGAUGGAAUGAGAAGACCAUGCCAAGAUGACCGCUGGCAAGCAAGCAUCAGUUACACAGGAAUAGCUUCGGAACCCACCUGGCAAUGGAGCCUGCCUGGCAACAGCCUGUGAAUGGAUAGGUCAUAAACCACCCCUUGACAGGAUUGGCUGCCUUGGCUAUAUAAGCUGCUGUACCAACUGAAAUAAACAAGUCUGCAAGCUGCUCGCAUCUGGCCCACUUUCACCCGAUUCCCGAUGUCUGUAUGGUGACUCCGUGCCUCUUGCCCCCACCAUGCUCCUCCUCACAGAAUGAAUCCACAACAACAGUCCCCUAACCUCAAAAGGUGCUUUCUCUCUGUUGUUGCUAUAACUGGAUUCUUCAAUUACAACGUUGUAUGCAACAACUGGAGGAAAUCCUGCCUCAGAGUCGUGUCCAGCAACCACACAUCGUGGCCUUCCGAGGCCUUUGUACCCAGUGACUACAAGGAAAGGGCUGCAUAAUGAAGCCUCAUACACACGCACCAGAGCUCAUGUUUCCCAUCAACUGCUCAGAAUUAAGCCAGGGUGCAAGGAACGUGAGUGGACAGCAGAUGGCAGGAGAGAGCCACUGUAGCCUCAGCAGGCCAGCAAAGAGGUGGAGACUUAGAAACUGGCUGGAUGAGAACUCUGUACAGCUCUACAAUUUUUGCUUGGUAAAUCAAAAACUAUUCUGAAAUAAAAACUAUAACAAAAAGAAACUGGCUGGUGAG